rnacentral:rRNA from 1 species
CCUACGGGGGGCAGCAGUGGGGAAUAUUGCACAAUGGGCGCAAGCCUGAUGCAGCCAUGCCGCGUGUGUGAAGAAUGCCUUCGGGUUGUAAAGCACUUUCAGCGGGGAGGAAGGCGUUAAGGUUAAUAACCUUGGCGAUUGACGUUACCCGCAGAAGAAGCACCGGCUAACUCCGUGCCAGCAGCCGCGGUAAUACGGAGGGUGCAAGCGUUAAUCGGAAUUACUGGGCGUAAAGCGCACGCAGGCGGUCUGUCAAGUCGGAUGUGAAAUCCCCGGGCUCAACCUGGGAACUGCAUUCGAAACUGGCAGGCUAGAGUCUUGUAGAGGGGGGUAGAAUUCCAGGUGUAGCGGUGAAAUGCGUAGAGAUCUGGAGGAAUACCGGUGGCGAAGGCGGCCCCCUGGACAAAGACUGACGCUCAGGUGCGAAAGCGUGGGGAGCAAACAGGAUUAGAUACCCCAGUAGUC